GUCACUCCAGACUCAGAUUCGGAAAGAAGCAAAGCAAGCGAGAGGAAAACUGGAUGUCCUGGAUCCAAAGCUCCGUAUUACCGUGGAUCUUCUCCUCUGAUCUGGAAAGCUUCACAGGCCAAAAGAGAAUUGAGAUGAAGAAGGAAAUAGAGAAUGCUGACCAAUAUUGCCAAGUGCCACCCUGACAGACACCACCCGGCUAGCCAAGCUAAAGCA